GCUGAAGUCAUGACAGGCGGUUUGGUGACCCUUAGUGGCACGAUGCCAGACUAACAGCUGGGUGGGUUUGACUAGCUGCUACAGAUGAGGGAAGGGAUAAGUCGCUGCCUCUCUGCCCUCUCUCCCUCUGCUCUACCACACACAUUGUUGUGUCCAACACUAAGCAGAAUGGCAACCAUAGAGUAACUGCAUCCAGUCAAUAACAAGAGGGAAUUCUUCAUCACAGGUGUUGGUGACUGGUCAUGGUCCACAGAGAGGGAUUCCAUCUAUGCUCUCCUCGGUGAUCUCCAACAGCUGUGCUCUCUAUAGGGACUAUGGCAACUACGGACCUCCCCGUACCCCAGGAAGAACAUCAGACCCAGAGCUUCACUUCGACACAACCCAUAUAACCCAUACAGGCCAUACCUGAGAAGGGUGGAUACAAGAGUAUCUUUAGCUGAUCCCAAGAAAAUCUCCAGGGCCACCAGUAGGGGUCAGUAUGUCACCAUGCCUGUUUGCCAUCCAAGGCUGCAUUUCUCUCCGAGACUAAAGCAAGGCAUGGGGCAGCCCCGGGCCAACACCAGACACCGGUCAGUCAGAGGAUCAUCCAAUCACAGCACAAAGCAAGGUAGACCAGGAGUGCUGGGAGCUGCUCUAGUUAUGAUACAAGCUCCUGGGUUGAGAAAGGCUCUAGUAAACCUGAUAAAGGGAAGAAAACACAGAACAAGGCCACAUCUUCUUCUUCCAAGAGUACAGGAGACAUAAGCCACAAGAGUUCCAGUUCUAAUGGUCGCCAGCAAUAUCGCUACUUCACCAAGGAUGGCAUGUGUCGCGGCUCGUCAUACAGCUCCAAGAACAAGAUGUGUGACCUGAUCGGCACCCUGGUGGAUCUGAAGUACAGCUGGAUCCUGUUUGUCUCCACCCUGUGCUACAUUGUCACCUUGACAGCAUUCGCAGAGCCCUACUUCCUGGAUGCCUGGAAGUGUUUGUAUGUGUUCCACAUACAAACCCGCAAUGGCAGCCAUGCUUUGAGAAGCUGGACAGUUUCCAUUCGGCCCUCUCUAUCUCCAUGGACAGCCAAAUCAUCAAUGGCUACGGCUCUAGAGAGGCCUCAGUCAACUGCAUGGACGGGCUGGUUCUCAUGAUGGCACAGUCCAUCAUUGAAUCAGUGUUAGACGCCCUGAUGCUGGGCUGCAUCCUGGCUAAGCUAGCCAAGCCUAAGAGGAGGCUGCCCACUUUGUUGUUCAGUCAGCCCUGUGUGGUCUGAGAGGGAUGAGAGUCUGUGCCUGAUGUUCAACGUCAGGACUUUGAAAGAGACACAUAUGCUGGUGGCAGAGAUUAGAGCCAAGCUGAUCAAAUCUCACCAUACCAAAGAGGGAGAAUUCAUCCUUUUGGAGCAGAGAGAGCUGACUCUGGGGAUGGAGCCAGGUUGUUCACAGUGGAGCCCCAAACCAUGGAGCAUGUAAUUGAUGAACACAGUCCUCUCUGGGGCAUCAGCACUGACUCUUUAAAGUGGGAGACCUUUGAAAACCAUGGUCAUGGUGGACGGAGCCAUGCAAGAUGCAGGUUUGUACUGAGAGGCACAGCCUUCCAUGUGAGGACCUCCUACACUGAAUAUGAUAUUCCUUAGGGACAGCACUUUAAGUCAUUCCAUCCACUAGAUGAGAGGGGGAUGUGGUCCAAUCACAAGACUUCUAAUAAAACCUAUAAGGUCCAGACUGCCACACACAGUGACAAAGAUGGCAGUGAGACAAAGACAUAAGAGAUCUCCUGGACACGACACAGACUCUGUCCCCUCCAACAUGUCUACAAGGAAAGUACAUUACCAGUAUUUAUCUGAUCAAAUGUUUCUGUGCAACUCAGUCACUAAUAACAAUGGCACAGGAACUAGGAAACUUAGUACGAAUUAGUUCUUUAUAUAAAUAUGGGCGCUUGACAAGUCGGCAUAGAGGGGUUAAAAGUGAUGAAAUUUAGACACACUGUACAUAUCCUCCAGAAUGUUUUCCAAUGUGAAUAAAUGAAUGAUGACCAAUAUCUAAAGCUGCCAUUUAUACAUCUCAUUUAUCAAACUUUCUGAAUACUUACAUUUGUAUAUGUGAGCAGUGAGCACAGCAUGCCUUGUGCUAGACAAACACUUGUGAUAUACUGUUACAAUUAUGCUGAUUGAAUGAGUUCUUAGUGGUCUCCUUACAGUAUGCGAGGAAUAACAAAGGUAUCUCACUGCCCAUACACCAAGCUCUCCCAAUUAAGAUCUAAAUGAUGAGUGUCAUUUAAUAAUUUUAUUGUGGGGUACCAAUUUGAGAAAUGGAAGACUGAACGGAGAAUCGCACAUGACAAGACAAAUAAAUGUCAGUAUUACUGUCUCGUCACCAGCAAUUGGGAUAUCUCAUUCACAUACCAUGCUAGACUCAUAUAUUUUAUUUAUAAUUUUUUUUGCACGGUAGAUAAGCUUCAGCAUUGGAGAUUGAUGGAAGCCACAAUCUAUGUAAUUGUCUGCAUCAUUUCCAAUCCACCAUAUAUUUGUUUUGUAAAUAUAAAUUGUAAACCACUGUCACAUUCUUCGUCGUCUGUAGAGGUGAAAUCAUCGGACCAAUAUGCAGCGGUUAGAUUGCUCAUCUUUUUAUUAGAAGGGAAAAAAAUACUCAUACAAAAACAAACGACGAAAAACAGUCCCAGAAGGUGCACUGACUAUACAAGGAAACAACUACCCACAAAACCCAUGAAGAAAAACCCCUACUUAAAUAUGAUCUCUAAUCAGAGGCAACGAGGGUCAGCUGCCUCCAAUUAGAGAUCAACCCAAACAUACACAACAUAGAAAUUGAAGAACUAGAAAGGAAAACAUAGA